rnacentral:rRNA from 1 species
UACACACCGCCCGUCACACCAUGGGAGUCGUUUGCUCCAGAAGUGCCUGCGCCAACCGCAAGGAGGCAGGGCCCCAAGGAGUGAACGGUAACUGGGGUG